AGCGAACGCUGGCGGCAGGCCUAACACAUGCAAGUCGAACGAACCUUUCGGGGUUAGUGGCGGACGGGUGAGUAACACGUGGGAACGUGCCUUUAGGUUCGGAAUAACUCAGGGAAACUUGUGCUAAUACCGAAUGUGCCCUUCGGGGGAAAGAUUAAUCGCCUUUAGAGCGGCCCGCGUCUGAUUAGCUAGUUGGUUGAGGUAAUGGCUCACCAAGGCGACGAUCAGUAGCUGGUCUGAGAGGAUGAUCAGCCACAUUGGGACUGAGACACGGCCCAAACUCCUACGGCAGGCAGCAGUGGGGAAUCUUGCGCAAUGGGCGAAAGCCUGACGCAGCCAUGCCGCGUGAAUGAUGAAGGUCUUAGGAUUGUAAAAUUCUUUCACCGGGGACGAUAAUGACGGUACCCGGAGAAGAAGCCCCGGCUAACUUCGUG
rnacentral:rRNA from 1 species